GACAGGACAAGUGUUAUGGGAGGUUUUUCCUUUUAAGUGCAACUAAUGUUUUCUGUUUUUGGAUUGGAAUUACUCUACAAUGAAGUACUCUUGGUUACUGUAAUCUAACUGCAUAGGAAGACGAAGAAAUAGCAUUUAUUGGGCAGAGAAGCAGCGAGCCAUUGUAAUGGCGCCAUAUUUCACAAAAUAUCGAAGGACACAAUAUCGAAGAUAAAAUACACUGCCCUGAGUGAAAACUUCACGACACUUUGUUGAAAUCGUCUUUAGCCAUUUAUGAUUAUGUAAAAGUACAAGAACUAGAUGAUAUUUGCGACACUAGGCGAUAAAAAGCAAACAAGACGGCAGAAUAUGGCUGAAAUCGUGUUUUCGUGGAGGAUAAGUGAAAUAA